rnacentral:rRNA from 1 species
UACGAAGGGGGCUAGCGUUGCUCGGAAUCACUGGGCGUAAAGCGCACGUAGGCGGGUCUUUAAGUCGGAGGUGAAUCCUGGAGCUCAACUCCAGAACUGCCUUCGAUACUGAGGAUCUCGAGUCCGGGAGAGGUGAGUGGAACUGCGAGUGUAGAGGUGAAAUUCGUAGAUAUUCGCAAGAACACCAGUGGCGAAGGCGGCUCACUGGCCCGGUACUGACGCUGAGGUGCGAAAGCGUGGGGAGCAAACAGG